UACAGAGGCCUCAAGCGUUGUUCGGAUUCAUUGGGCGUAAAGGGAGCGUAGGCGGUCGGGUAAGUCGGGUGUGAAAUCUUGGGGCUCAACCUCAAAACUGCAUUCGAUACUGCCUGGCUAGAGGAAUGGAGGGGAGAUUGGAAUUCACGGUGUAGCAGUGAAAUGCGUAGAUAUCGUGAGGAAGACCAGUGGCGAAGGCGGAUCUCUGGACAUUUCCUGACGCUGAUGCUCGAAGGCCAGGGGAGCAAACGGG
rnacentral:rRNA from 1 species